ACUGCAAGGCUUUGUGAACACAGCCAUCCAGAGGAUGCUGUUUAGAGGGAAGGAGGUCAUUCUAGGGGAAACCAGCUGCCAUAUUAAGAAAACAGUCCUAUGGAAAGGGCCAUGGAACAAAGAAGUGACUUCUGCCAACAACCUCAUGAGUGAACCUAGAAGUGGCUCAUCUAGUCCUGGUCAAAUCUUAUGGACUGUGGCUCCAACUGAUAGUGUGACUGUAACUUCAUAAGAGACGCUGAACCAGACCACCCAAUAAGACACUCCCAGAUUCCCUACUCUCAAAAGUUGUGUGAAAUAAUCACCCCCAGU
rnacentral:lncRNA from 1 species